rnacentral:lncRNA from 1 species
AAGCUCCAAGUGUGCGUCUGUCAAUUCCAGAGACGACUCUGAGCUGACCGGCUGUGUGACCUGGGGCCAGAAAACGCCUUCUCUCUGCCUUGGCUUCUGUACCUGAAAUGAGGAUGGGAGCGAUGACCCGGCCUCUCCCCAGGACGGUGGCAUAGGUUUGGAAGGACCCAGGAUUGGGAAGGCCUUUUGUCGGUCACAGAGAGCUGUGUGGACGUGAGUGGCUUGGAUUCACUUUGUCUAAAGGGGGCUGGUUCCAUUCGGGGGCCUAUCUACUUGUGGGGACCACUGAUUCUUGGCACGAGUGUUAACGAGCUGUCCACUUUGUGUGUGCCUUGCAACCUGAAUUCCGGACCCCACGUUUCGUUCUGCUUCUGUGAAGCCCCUUUGAGCCGACGUGGGGAUGACUGCUCAGUAGGGACAGUUAACUGGAUCAUUCACAGAACCCACAUGCACGGGGCUAGCUGCUAACCCAUAGGAAGAUUUUUCUCUGGGAAACUGAAUAAACGUUGUUCUUUUGGGAGUGAAAUCACACGUGAGAAAAAAAGAAUCAGAGAGAGACCGAGAAUGCGCACACGUUGAAGAAGUCACCCGAUCGGAAUGAGGUCUCAGCCGCUGUGAGCACGACAUGCCCCACUAGUCACCAACGUCCUCCCAGAUGCUCACCCGACAAUCAGGCAUCUCCUGGUUCCUGGCAGGGCUGCUUAACCCCUCCAGGGGCUGGAAACGGUGGAUGGCAGGAGAAGAAACGAACAUGAUUUGCAGAAAGCAGGGCUCCAGGUUGGCCAGAGCAGAGGCGA